rnacentral:lncRNA from 1 species
CGAGGCCGCCCCUUGCAUUCUGCUCCUCAUUGUUGGCCCCGCACGGCUCCCGGGGGCUGGUACAGGUCUCAUGCCUGAGGCUGAGCCAGGCACCCCGAGGCGCGGAUGCAUGAUGGGAGAUGUAGUUCCAAAGGGAGACUUUGCCAUCUCGCCCCGCCCGUCGCUAUGGCGACAGGAAAGCUGCACUUGGUGCCUGCGGUACUCUACCUAAAGCUGAACUGGGGCUACAAGGCGGCGGGGAGAGUCGGGUGCAAGGAGCUCAAGCCCCAGUCCCGUCUCCAACACCCCCCGCCGCACCCCCAACGCAGGCAGAUGGGCCUGGAAUACAAGCCAUUCACACCGUCCAACAGAUAUCUGCUAUAGCAGCCAGCUAAGCGCAGGCCACAGGAUGAAGAGGAGAGGAGACGGAAAAGAGUUUAAAGGGGCCUGCCCUCUUUGCAGGCACCGGCUUGAACCUGGAGGCGACCUGGUGGGCUGGCCGGCCUGCCCCCGGCCCUGGGUCCCGCGAGGCAGGCGGGCGGGCGCGAACAGACUACAACUCCCGGCAUGCGCCGCGGCGGGCGGGUCGCUGCACCUGCUCAGUGGGGCAGCCCCGGGCGCCUGGGUAUUGAUUAUUCCAUUGUGUGGGACGCCUAGACUCCAGCCAGUGAAUGAGGCGGAGGAGUGAGGGCGAGGAGGAGGAGGAGGAGGAGGGCGAGGAGGAGAAGGAGGAGGAGGAGGAGGAGGCAGGGAGCGAGCGAGUGCCCAGGGUGAAUCAAUGGAAACCCCCUCACGAAGCCGGGGAAACACUUCAGCCGCAGCCAAAUAGCAUUGAUUAUUUUCCUUC